UGCCCUAGUAACGGCGAGUGAAGCGGCAACAGCUCAAAUUUGAAAUCUGGCCCUAGGCCCGAGUUGUAAUUUGCAGAGGAUGCUUUUGGUGAGGUGCUUACCGAGUCCCCUGGAAUGGGGCGCCACAGAGGGUGAGAGCCCCGUAUGGUUUGCCACCGAGCCUUUGUAAAGCUCCUUCGACGAGUCGAGUAGUUUGGGAAUGCUGCUCUAAAUGGGAGGUAAAUUUCUUCUAAAGCUAAAUACCGGCCAGAGACCGAUAGCGCACAAGUAGAGUGAUCGAAAGAUGAAAAGCACUUUGAAAAGAGGGUUAAAUAGCACGUGAAAUUGUUGAAAGGGAAGCGCUCGUGACCAGACUUGCGCCUGGCGGAUCAUCCGGCGUUCUCGCCGGUGCACUCCGCCAGGCUCAGGCCAGCAUCGGUUUUCGCCGGGGGACAAAAGCUUCAGGAACGUGGCUCCUCUCGGGGAGUGUUAUAGCCUGUUGCAGAAUACCCCGGUGGGGACCGAGGACCGCGCUUCGGCAAGGAUGCUGGCGUAAUGGUCAUCAGCGACCCGUCUUGAAACACGGACCGAGGAGUCAAGCAUUAGUGCGAGUGUUUGGGUGUAAAACCCGCACGCGUAAUGAAAGUAAACGUAGGUGAGAGCUUCGGCGCAUCAUCGACCGAUCCUGAUGUUUUCGGAUGGAUUUGAGUAGGAGCAUUAACGCUUGGACCCGAAAGAUGGUGAACUAUACUUGAAUAGGGUGAAGCCA
rnacentral:rRNA from 1 species